rnacentral:tRNA from 2 species
UGGGGUAUAGCCAAACGGUAAGGCACUUGACUCUGACUCAAGCAUUGUGGAGGUUCGAAUCCUUCUACCCCAGCCA